AUUGAACGCUAGCGGGAUGCUUUACACAUGCAAGUCGAACGAGUGGCGGACGGGUGAGUAAUACAUCGGAACUGGCUUAUGGAGGGGGAUAACUACUCGAAAGAGUGGCUAAUACCGCAUACUAUCGGAUAACCCAUAUGGGAUUAGCUAGUAGGUGAGGUAAUGGCUCACCUAGCCUACGAUCCCUAGCUGGUCUGAGAGGAUGAUCAGCCACACUGGGACUGAGACACGGCCCAGACUCCUACGGAGGCAGCAGUGGGGAAUAUUGCACAAUGGGGGCAAGCCUGAUGCAGCCAUGCCGCGUGUAUGAAGAAGGCCUUAGGGUUGUAAAGUACUUUCGGUAGGGAGGCGUUACCGACAGAAGAAGCACCGGCUAACUCCGUGCCAGCAGCCGCGGUAAUUC
rnacentral:rRNA from 1 species